UUUGUACCCACCUAUCAGCUUGAAGGCAGAGACCAGGACUGAAUUAUAACAAUAACAGCAACAACAAUAAAAGUAAUACUAACAGCAUUAGCAUUGUGCUAAUAAGCAUUUAUGAUCUCACUGAUGGGUACCAACAUCGCUGUAAAGUGAGAACUACUAUGAAUUCCAUUUUGUAAGUGAAGAAGGGCUCAGAGAUGAAGUAUCUCAAUCAAGUUCACG
rnacentral:lncRNA from 10 species